CUGCGUUUGAGGAUGAUGUUGGAGGAGGGAUGGUUCCAGAGGGGACCAUGGCCGUGGCUGUCCCUCCAAGGAGAGCAGGGUCUGGCUGGAGGCCCCUGUGUGACAUUGAUCUCCAAAGUAACACACAGAACGAGCCUUGGCUUGGAGGAGGGCCAGCAAGUGAAUUCCAGCUUGGUGCUCCUUUCUUGGUCUCAUUCUCUUCUUCCUUUCUUUACUUCAUUUAGAGAUUACCAUGAGAGUCCAGACCUGUCUCAGGCAAUGUGCUUGUGCACAGCACCUGGGGCAGGCUCCUACUGGAUGUUGCAGCACCCUGGCAAGGGCUCUGCUCUCAUAUUUUUCAGCUGACCCAGAGAUUUCAAACAGCAGUUUCAUUUUUCCUCUUUUAAUUUAAUUGGAGAAUGUAAAAGGAGCUUUUGACUUUUACUGGUGGAACCUGAGGAGGGCUGAAGCAGUUUAUACUUGACAGACCUUAAUCGUGCAGGGCACCCUUCUAAACUUUUGUUUACCUCCUGUGAGCUGCUGAAGGGAGGAGGGAAACAAGGGAAGAAAGGGAAAAAAAAAAAAGAAAAAAGGCAGCUUUCAGUUACUAAACCCCCUCGUGGUAUUGAAUUCUAACCAAGUACAUCCAGCCCUGCCAGCCAGAAAUGCCAAAAGGAGGAAAGCUGCUGAAUCAGAGGAGAAUCAGGAUUGGGAGGAUGGUAGGGAAUAUGAGAGUAGCACUAGGCAAACAAAAUGGUGAGCACGCCUUGGGCUACGUUUUCAGCGUGUUUUCUUGGGAGAUCAAAGCUUAAACCCCGUUAACCCUUCAAAUGUCAGCCUGUCCCACAUUCUCCUGCCCCCUUUCCCUUUAGGAAUGCCUCACCCUUGUUCUCUCCAAGGAGAAAUGAGAGUUCACCUCACUGUGCUUUCCCUCUGAAGGAUUGGGAUGUGAAGCCCCGAAAGGCCAAGGACACAAAUCCAAUCUGUGACCAGGGACAGGACCUGGGGAACAACUGGA